AUUGAACGCUGGCGGUAUGCUUAACACAUGCAAGUCGAACGGUAACGACAGAGAGCUUGCUCUCUGGGCGACGAGUGGCGGACGGGUGAGUAAUAUAUAGGAACCUUCCUCAUAGUUUGGGAUAACGUACUCGAAAGAGUGGCUAAUACCGGAUCGUGGACUACGGUUUAAAGCAGGGGAUCUUCGGACCUUGCGCUACGAGAUGGGCCUAUACAAGAUUAGCUAGUUGGUGAGGUAAAUGCUCACCAAGGGCGACGGAUCUUUAGCUGGGUUUGUAGAGGAUGACCCAGGCCCACACUGGGGACUGAGACACGGGCCCAGACUCCUACGGGGAGGCAGGCAGUGGGGGAAU
rnacentral:rRNA from 1 species